GACGAACGCUGGCGGCGUGCUUAACACAUGCAAGUCGAACGGAAAGGCCCUGCUUUUGUGGGGUGCUCGAGUGGCGAACGGGUGAGUAACACGUGAGUAACCUGCCCUUGACUUUGGGAUAACUUCAGGAAACUGGGGCUAAUACCGGAUAGGAGCUCCUGCUGCAUGGUGGGGGUUGGAAAGUUUCGGCGGUUGGGGAUGGACUCGCGGCUUAUCAGCUUGUUGGUGGGGUAGUGGCUUACCAAGGCUUUGACGGGUAGCCGGCCUGAGAGGGUGACCGGCCACAUUGGGACUGAGAUACGGCCCAGACUCCUACGGGAGGCAGCAGUGGGGAAUAUUGCACAAUGGGCGGAAGCCUGAUGCAGCAACGCCGCGUGCGGGAUGACGGCCUUCGGGUUGUAAACCGCUUUCGCCUGUGACGAAGCGUGAGUGACGGUAAUGGGUAAAGAAGCACCGGCUAACUACGUGCCAGCAGCCGCGGUGAUACGUAGGGUGCGAGCGUUGUCCGGAUUUAUUGGGCGUAAGGGCUCGUAGGUGGUUGAUCGCGUCGGAAGUGUAAUCUUGGGGCUUAACCCUGAGCGUGCUUUCGAUACGGGUUGACUUGAGGAAGGUAGGGGAGAAUGGAAUUCCUGGUGGAGCGGUGGAAUGCGCAGAUAUCAGGAGGAACACCAGUGGCGAAGGCGGUUCUCUGGGCCUUUCCUGACGCUGAGGAGCGAAAGCGUGGGGAGCGAACAGGCUUAGAUACCCUGGUAGUCCACGCUGUAAACGGUGGGUACUAGGUGUGGGGUCCAUUCCACGGGUUCCGUGCCGUAGCUAACGCUUUAAGUACCCCGCCUGGGGAGUACGGCCGCAAGGCUAAAACUCAAAGGAAUUGACGGGGCCCCGCACAAGCGGCGGAGCAUGCGGAUUAAUUCGAUGCAACGCGUAGAACCUUACCUGGGUUUGACAUGGAUCGGGAGUGCUCAGAGAUGGGUGUGCCUCUUUUGGGGUCGGUUCACAGGUGGUGCAUGCCUGUCGUCAGCUCGUGUCGUGAGAUGUUGGGUUAAGUCCCGCAACGAGCGCAACCCUUGUUCACUGUUGCCAGCACGUUAUGGUGGGGACUCAGUGGAGACCGCCGGGGUCAACUCGGAGGAAGGUGGGGAUGACGUCAAGUCCUCAUGCCCCUUAUGUCCAGGGCUUCACGCAUGCUACAAUGGCUGGUACAGAGAGUGGCGAGCCUGUGAGGGUGAGCGAAUCUCGGAAAGCCGGUCUCAGUUCGGAUUGGGGUCUGCAACUCGACCUCAUGAAGUCGGAGUCGCUAGUAAUCGCAGAUCAGCAACGCCGCGGUGAAUACGUUCCCGGG
rnacentral:rRNA from 1 species